rnacentral:rRNA from 1 species
GACGGGGGAUGCAAGUGUUAUCCGGAAUCACUGGGCGUAAAGCGUCUGCAGGUGGUUUCCUAAGUCCACUGUUAAACCUUGAGGCUCAACCUCAAAUCUGCAUUGGAAACUAGGAGACUUGAGUAUAGUAGGGGUAGAGGGAAUUUCCAGUGGAGCGGUGAAAUGCGUAGAUAUCGGAAGGAACACCUGUGGCGAAAGCGGCUCACUGGACCAUUACUGACACUGAGGCACGAAAGCUAGGGGAGCAAACAGG